rnacentral:rRNA from 1 species
UACGUAGGGGGCAAGCGUUGUCCGGAUUUACUGGGCGUAAAGAGCGUGUAGGCGGCCACGCAGGUCCGUUGUGAAAACUGGAGGCUAAACCUCCAGCUGUCGACGGAAACCGUGUGGCUAGAGUCCGGAAGAGGAGAGUGGAAUUCCUGGUGUAGCGGUGAAAUGCGCAGAUAUCAGGAAGAACACCAAUGGCGAAGGCAGCUCUCUGGGACGGUACUGACGCUGAGACGCGAAAGCGUGGGGAGCGAACAGG